rnacentral:rRNA from 1 species
AAUGGAGAGUUUGAUCCUGGCUCAGGAUGAACGCUGGCGGCGUGCCUAAUACAUGCAAGUCGAACGCUUCACUUCGGUGAAGAGUGGCGAACGGGUGAGUAAUACAUAAGUAACCUGGCAUCUACAGGGGGAUAACUGAUGGAAACGUCAGCUAAGACCGCAUAGGUGUAGAGAUCGCAUGAACUCUAUAUGAAAAGUGCUACGGGACUGGUAGAUGAUGGACUUAUGGCGCAUUAGCUUGUUGGUAGGGUAACGGCCUACCAAGGCGACGAUGCGUAGCCGACCUGAGAGGGUG